rnacentral:rRNA from 1 species
ACUGCUCAGUAACACGUGGAUAACCUACCCUUAGCACGGGGAUAACCUCGGGAAACUGAGUAUAAUACCCGAUACAUAUAGGUAGCUGGAAUGCUAUUAUGCCGAAAGCUCCGGCGCCUGAGGAUGGAUCUGCGGCUGAUCAGGUAGUAGUUGGGGUAACGUACCUACUAGCCUGCGAUCGGUACGGGUUGUGAGAGCAAGAGCCCGGAGAUGGAUUCUGAGACAAGAAUCCAGGCCCUACGGGGCGCAGCAGGCGCGAAACCUCCGCAAUGCUGGCAACAGCGACGAGGGGACCUCAAGUGCCAGUAUUCACGGGGUGCCUUCUAGAAGUAAAAAACAUUCAAUAAUAAGAGCCGGGCAAGACCGGUGCCAGCCGCCGCGGUAACACCGGCAGCUCGAGUGGUGGCCACUAUUAUUGGGUCUAAAGCGUCUGUAGCCGGCCGGAUAAGUCUUUGGGAAAUCCCAUAGCUCAACAAUGGGAAUUUCAGAAGAUACUAUCAGGCUCGAGGUCGGGAGAGGUUAGGGGUACUUCCAGGGUAGGGGUGAAAUCCUAUAAUCCUGGGAGGACCACCAGUGGCGAAGGCGUCUCACCGGAACGAACCUGACGGCGAGUAACGAAAGCCAGGGGCGCGAACCGGAUUAGAUACCCGGGUAGUCCUAGCCGUAAACGAUGCUCACUAGGUGUCAGACCGGUUCGAGCUGUGGUCAGUGCCGUAGGGAAGCCGUUAAGUUAGCCGCCUGGGAAGUACGGUCGCAAGGCUGAAACUUAAAGGAAUUGGCGGGGGAGCA